AUAAAAAAUAUAUCUUUAUUUUUAUAAUUUAUACUUAUAAUAAUGUUUAGCUACGUCUAGACUUCAAGAAAAGGAUCGUGGGUAUUUUGGGCUAACCUUCAACAGUUUAUAGCGUUAGCAAAUAAAAGGUAAAACAUAUUUGAAUUAAAUUCGAACAAACAAAAACUUUCAUUUGAUAUUCACAUCUGUUAGAAGGUUCUCGCAAAUUGCCGACACUGCCCAUAAUCCUUUCUAAACUAAACUAACAUUCCUAAUUAUUUAAAUACAUUUAAGCACCAUGUUUUGUCCCCUACAGAAA